GCCGGGAUAGCUCAGGGGUAGAGCAAAAGACUGAAAAUCUUUGUGUCGGCGGUUCGAUUCCGCCUCCCGGCACCA
rnacentral:tRNA from 1 species